AUACCUUUCUCGGCCUUUUGGCUAAGAUCAAGUGUAGUAUCUGUUCUUAUCAGUUUAAUAUCUGAUAUGUGGAUCAUUGAUUCACACGAUAUUAACUCAAUUUUUUAAGGGGUAGAAUCCAUGAAGGUAGCUUGCUACCUGGGCUCUUGUGCGUCGCUCAUGCGUUGCACUACUGCACGGGCUUGGCGCACCCCAC
rfam:Solanum lycopersicum cultivar Heinz 1706 chromosome 8, whole genome shotgun sequence.